CCUCGAAUCAGGUAGGACUACC
rnacentral:rRNA from 1 species